rnacentral:lncRNA from 1 species
CUCCGCUUUUCGCUGAGGAAGACUAGCCCUGAGCUAACAUCUGUGCCCAUCUUCCUCUACUUUAUAUGUGGAAUGCCUGCCACAGCAUGGCUUGACAAGCCGUGCCAUGUCCUCACCUGGGAUCUGAACCAGUGACUCCUGGGCCACCAAAACAGAACAUGGAAACAACCACUGCGCCAUCAGACUGGCCCUAAUGGUUGUAUUUGAAAAAGACUCAUAAAAUCUCUGAAAAUGUGGACAGUGGACUUUCAUGAUAUGUUCUUCAUUACAAAAGGAUUAUCUCUCUACGAGUUGCAAAUAUUUUUCCUGGUGUAUCAUUUGUCCUAUGGUUUUACAUGCUAUUAUUAUUACCCUGGAGAAUAUCCGGUAGCCCCAGCGCAUGGCUACAUAUCCUAGUCGUAAGUCCUUCCAGUUCUUCUAUGUGAGCUGCUGCCACAGCUUGGCUACUGACAGACUGGUGGUGUGGUUCCACGACAGGGAAAUGAAUCGCGGCUGCCGAAGUGGUUACCUCGACCACUUUUGAUUAAGAAAACUGCAGAAAGUUAGUAACUGCCACAAACGAACGCCAGGCGGUGGCCCGUGUCAAUUUUCCACAGAGUCCUGCUUUGCGGGGUGUCUGAAUGCACUGCUCGGGGUCUCUGCUCACACUUACUGGAAUCAAUCGUGGCAGAUUUUAGUCCACAGGUCGCUUUUCCCCAUAUUUCUUUGUAAACUCUUCAGCGUUCUUACAGAAAUUUUUACGGUCCUUAGAGUAUUCUUCAGCUAGGUCAGCCCGAAGCGGGUGCUCAGGCUGGGGGUCGUUCACCAGUGCUAUGAGGGACCGGAUUACUUGGUCGGUUUUGGUUGCUGGCUUCCAGUUUUCAGCACUAAUUACCGGCAGUCAGACCUGCCCCUUUUCAUCAAUGUUCGGGUGAUAGAUCUUUGUUUUAAAUGUGAUCUUCGGUGGUUUGAAUGGGUACUCUGCCGGAAAGUUGAUUUCGAUUCUGAAGGUCCCAUUGUCAUAUGGAGGGUUGUCAGGAACAAUAAGCCCUUGCCAAGUCAAUAAAUUAGCUUCAUCAAUCUGGAUGUUACGGAAGUUUUUCAUUCCACAUUUGCGGAUUUCUUCAAGCUCCUUCAUCAGCCUCCUGCUGGCCGCCAUCUUGGAUCUGGUGCUGCU